rnacentral:rRNA from 1 species
UCGAGAAUCUUCGGCAAUGGGCGAAAGCCUGACCGAGCGACGCCGCGUGUGGGAUGAAGGCCCUUGGGUUGUAAACCACUGUCAGAGGGGAUGAAGUGCACGAGAGCUAUCUCUUGUGUUUGACAUAGCCUCAGAGGAAGCACGGGCUAAGUUCGUGCCAGCAGCCGCGGUAAGACGAACUGUGCAAACGUUAUUCGGAAUCACUGGGCUUAAAGGGUGCGUAGGCGGUCUUGUAAGUAGGGUGUGAAAGCCCCCGGCUCAACCGGGGAACUGCGUCCUAAACUGCGAGGCUAGAGUGAGGUAGGGGUGUGUGGAACUUCCAGUGGAGCGGUGAAAUGUGUUGAUAUUGGAAGGAACGCCGGUGGCGAAAGCGACACACUGGACCUUGUCUGACGCUGAGGCACGAAAGCCAGGGGAGCAAACG